GAGCUUAAUGGGAGAGCACAUCCUUUGCAUGCAGGAGGUCACAGGUUCAAUCCCUGACUGGAAAACA